GAUGAAGAACGCAGUGAAAUGCGAUAAGUAAUGUGAAUUGCAGAAUUCAGUGAAUCAUCGAAUCUUUGAACGCACAUUGCGCCCGCCAGUAUUCUGGCGGGCAUGCCUGUUCGAGCGUCAUUUCAACCAUCAAGCUCCCGGGCUUGCGUUGGGGCCCUGCGGCUGCCGCAGGCCCCUAAAACCAGUGGCGGGCUCGCUGUCACACCGAGCGUAGUAGCAUACAUCUCGCUCUGGGCGUGCUGCGGGUUCCGGCCGUUAAACCACCUUCAUAACCCAAGGUUGACCUCGGAUCAGGUAGGAAGACCCGCUGAACUUAAGCAUAUCAAUAAGCGGAGGA
rnacentral:misc_RNA from 1 species